AGACUGGAUCGGUUCGGACGAUAUUCACUGGAGUUGAGAAGAAUUAAGGGGAAAUCUCAUAGAAAUCUAUUAAAUUUGAACAAGGACAAGACAGAGUAAACACAGGGAGGGUGUUCCUGGUGCCAGGCGGAGGGUCCAGAACCAGGGGGUCACUGUCUAAAGGAGACGUGACAAGACUGAGAUGGGGAGAAAUGUCUUUACCCAGAGAGUGGGGAGCCUGUGGAAUUCUCUGUCACAGAAAGCAGUCAGGGCAAGAAUGUUGUUCAGGAAGGAGUUGGAUCGAGGGCAAAAGGGAGAGCGCGGGGAGGCACAGGACGAAGUUGGGCGAUCAGCCAUGAUCCCAUUGAAUGGGCAGAGCAGGCUGGAGGGGCCGAAUGGCCUCCUCCCGAUGAUAUUUUCAAUGUUUCUCUGUGAAUGGCUCGGUUGCCGCUGACAGGUGCACGACACAGGGAAGUUUUGCCUCGAUAUAUCUUGGCAGUGAAAGUGAGGGACAGUAAUUUCCAGUCAACAAUUUAGAGAGAGUGGAUGCAGAGUGAUCUUUUGAGUUUAGCUUCGAAUGUUCUGGCUUGGAUUGGUAGGAUGUUAUUAUUGAGACAGGCUGCACAGAAACAGUGAUGUCAUUGCGAUGGUGAGAGUUUGGAACGACAUUCACAGACACAAGGGUUUCCCUCCAAAUGGACGGGUGUUGGCAGGGGGGCAGGGCAACAGGGAACAGAAAACACUGGGGUUGAUGUUUGCUGAAGGAAUUAUGUUAUUGACAAGAAAUCCCUCUCUGAAUCCAGCACAGGAACACAGCACUGAGAUGGGAGUACUCAUUGUCCCAAUGUUUCUGAUCCUUUCUCUCGUCACAUUGCUUCCAAUUAAACUCCAGAACAGGAAACAAGCUGAUUCUUCCAGCAGUUCCCGGUGGCACAGUGUUGACCUGUGUUCAGGCUGACCAAGUGGAACAGCAACCACCCUUCUUCACAUACGCCAGCUUGAGGCACAAAUUUACAGGAGAGGAUGAGGAACCAGGUCAAGAUGAAGAGGGAAACGUUUAUGCCAGGCUUCCAUGGACAUUGUGAGACAGUACAGAAGAAAGCCUGUGAAGCUUCACAAAUCGAUCAAUAGCAAUCCUACCUUCCAGCAAAUAAGGAGGACAAGGGAGAGAAGGCAGAGCAAUGUCACGUUUCUGUGACUCAGCUCGGCUUUGUCUCAAUUCACUCAGCAAGAUGUCAGUUCCAAAGAUGGACUUGUCUUGAGAAACCAUCUGCAUAAUUGUCUCUCCCACAACCCUCAGUGUGUCAGUUGAUCCCGUUGUAGCACAAUCUAACUGUUGAUGGCAGAGAUUUCAGAUUUUAUGCUGUACUUUCCAUCUUUUGUUUAAAUUGUCGUCAGCUGGAAAUAAUUCAAGGUGGGAUUGUUUUCCAGCCCUCUCUUCAUUGCCCUCUAAUUUCAUCAC